rnacentral:lncRNA from 1 species
UUUUUCUGUAUUAAACAUGUAUUAUGAUACAAAACAUUUCCAUAUUCAUUUUUAUAAGUGAAUAAUCGUAUACAAUCCAAAUCCCAAAACAUAAACCCAAAUAAAUAAGUGAAAAUCCACAUGCUUUCAUUUGCAUUCUGAUUCCACCAGUUCUUUUUCUGGAGGUGGAGAGCAUUCUCUGUAAUAAAUCUCUCAGAAUUGUCCUGGAUCAUUGUAUUGCCCAAAAUAGCUAAGUCUAUCACAGUUGAUCAUUCCAUAAUAUUGCUGUUACUAUGUAUUAUGUUCUGCUUAUUUCACUCUGCGUCAGUUCACGUAGGUCUUUCCAGCUCUUUCUGAAAUCAUCCUGGUCAUCGUUCCUUACAGCACAGUAAUAUUCUAUCACCGCCGUAUACCACAGUUUGUUUAGUCAUUCCUCAUUUGAGGGACAUCCCUUUAGUUUCCAUUUCUUUGCCACCAUGAAAAGAACAGCUAUAAAUAUUUUUGUGCCAGUAGAUCCUUUCCCAUGUUUAAAAAAUCUCUUUGGGGUAUAGACGUAGUAGUGGUAUUACCAGAUCAGAGGGGAUACAUUAUUUUAUAGAACUUUGGAUGUAAGAGAAUGGUAGACUAAAACUUUUAGACUAAAACUCUGUUUCAUCAGAGGUCAAAUGAGCUGGAGAAGGACGUGGCAAACCACUCCAGUAUCUCUGCUAAGGAAGCCCAGAGCGAGGUCAUGGAGAGUCAGACACUCCUGAAAACAAUUGAACAACAUUCUACAAUACAAACUCUCACUUCAACCUAACUUGUAUACUUAGUACAAUGUAGGGAAGUGUAGAAAGGAGGAUCGCCUUCAGAAGGUCCAAGGAAAGUCUCUCCAGUAGGUUCCUCAGGUUGAUGGUCAAUCCCUCCUUCCUUAGGAGAGGCAGCUGGGUGGCACAGUAGACGGAGCACCGGGCUUGGAGUCAGAAAACCUCAGUUCAAAACUGGCCUUGGACAAACGAUCGCUCGAACAUGACCCUGGACAAACUACUGGCUAGCCAUGCCUUCCUCAUCUUGCACUCAAAAAAAGAAAAACUGGUUUCCCUGAGGGACAGUUUGGGUUCCAUGGCAACAGUGAUUCAUUUGGCAUCCCUAAAAGGGUGUGUCUUGGAGCAAAUGCUAAACCUGUUGAAGCCACCAGGAGGCAUGUGAAACUCUGUGCCAGCUUUCUUCCACAAGGCACGUGUAGAAAUUAAUGACUAGAAUGAGGAUGUCACAGCCUUUUUUCCUCAAGUUUUCCAGGUUCUACAAUCCCAUGGAGGUGUAUGUAAUAAAUUUCACAAAGAAUUCCUAAUUUGCUUGCUG